rnacentral:misc_RNA from 1 species
UUUCCGUAGGUGAACCUGCGGAAGGAUCAUUACUGAGUGAGGGCCCUCUGGGUCCAACCUCCCACCCGUGUUUAUUGUACCUUGUUGCUUCGGUGAGCCCGCCUCACGGCCGCCGAGGGGCAUCUGCCCCCGGGCCCGCGCUCGCCGAAGGCACCCUUGAACUCUGUCUGAAGUUUGCAGUCUGAGCGAAAACUAAAUAAGUUAAAACUUUCAACAACGGAUCUCUUGGUUCCG